GUGGGGAUUAGCACGGCUGAAAGGUGCCGUCCUGACAGAACAGGUCCAGCACACAGAGCAUUGGUACAAACUCUCCCCACGGUGCCCUGCCAGUGGGUCUCAAACCUGCCCAGAGAGGCCACGUAGAGAUGAGAGGGGAAUUCAGUCUCCAUGGCCCACUCAAUCGUUGGCCUCC
ensembl:misc_RNA